CAGCCGCCGCGGUAAUACGUAGGGUGCAAGCGUUAAUCGGAAUUACUGGGCAUAAAGCGUGCGCAGGCGGUUAUAUAAGACAGAUGUGAAAUCCCCGGGCUCAACCUGGGAACUGCAUUUGUGACUGUAUAGCUAGAGUACGGCAGAGGGGGAUGGAAUUCCGCGUGUAGCAGUGAAAUGCGUAGAUAUGCGGAGGAACACCGAUGGCGAAGGCAAUCCCCUGGGCCUGUACUGACGCUCAUGCACGAAAGCGUGGGGAGCAAACAGGAUUAGAUACCCCUGUAGUCCCUGUCUCUUAUAC
rnacentral:rRNA from 1 species